GUGUGGGNCUUAGCUCAGCUGGGAGAGCGCCUGCUUUGCACGCAGGAGGUCAUCGGUUCGAUCCCGAUAGGCUCCACCAUUUUGAUGAAAAAUUUUUUACGUCUGCGUCUUCUAGCAGAUUCGGGG
rnacentral:tRNA from 1 species